ACAGCCCACUAGUUAUCUAUAUAUAUAAAAGCCUAAGCUACCAUUACAACCGAAUGACCGGAACCACAGGAACAACUGGUCAACCAGGUGCUAUGAGGCACACUGACCACCAGGGGAGCAGACACUCAA